UGGGGGAUAUUGCGCAAUGGGGGCAACCCUGACGCAGCAACGCCGCGUGAAGGAUGAAGGUUUUCGGAUUGUAAACUUCUUUUAUUAAGGACGAAAAAUGACGGUACUUAAUGAAUAAGCUCCGGCUAACUACGUGCCAGCAGCCGCGGUAAUACGUAGGGAGCAAGCGUUGUCCGGAUUUACUGGGUGUAAAGGGUGCGUAGGCGGCUUUGCAAGUCAGAUGUGAAAUCUAUGGGCUCAACCCAUAAACUGCAUUUGAAACUGUAGAGCUUGAGUGAAGUAGAGGCAGGCGGAAUUCCCCGUGUAGCGGUGAAAUGCGUAGAGAUGGGGAGGAACACCAGUGGCGAAGGCGGCCUGCUGGGCUUUAACUGACGCUGAGGCACGAAAGCGUGGGUAGCAAACAGGAUUAGAUACCCUGGUAGUCCACGCUGUAAACGAUGAUUACUAGGUGUGGGGGGUCUGACCCCUUCCGUGCCGGAGUUAACACAAUAAGUAAUCCACCUGGGGAGUACGGCCGCAAGGUUGAAACUCAAAGGAAUUGACGGGGGCCCGCACAAGCAGUGGAGUAUGUGGUUCAAUUCGAAGCAACGCGAAGAACCUUACCAGGUCUUGACAUCCAACUAACGAAGUAGAGAUACAUUAGGUGCCCUUCGGGGAAAGUUGAGACAGGUGGUGCAUGGUUGUCGUCAGCUCGUGUCGUGAGAUGUUGGGUUAAGUCCCGCAACGAGCGCAACCCUUGCUAUUAGUUGCUACGCAAGAGCACUCUAAUAGGACUGCCGUUGACAAAACGGAGGAAGGUGGGGACGACGUCAAAUCAUCAUGCCCCUUAUGACCUGGGCUACACACGUACUACAAUGGAUGUUAACAGAGGGAAGCAAGACAGCGAUGUGGAGCAAACCCCUAAAAACAUUCUCAGUUCAGAUUGCAGGCUGCAACCCGCCUGCAUGAAGAUGGAAUUGCUAGUAAUCGCGGAUCAGCAUGCCGCGGUGAAUACGUUCCC
rnacentral:rRNA from 2 species